GAUGAACGCUGGCGGCGUGCCUAAUACAUGCAAGUCGAGCGAACAGAUGAGGAGCUUGCUCCUCUGACGUUAGCGGCGGACGGGUGAGUAACACGUGGAUAACCUACCUAUAAGACUGGGAUAACUUCGGGAAACCGGAGCUAAUACCGGAUAAUAUAUUGAACCGCAUGGUUCAAUAGUGAAAGACGGUUUUGCUGUCACUUAUAGAUGGAUCCGCGCCGCAUUAGCUAGUUGGUAAGGUAACGGCUUACCAAGGCAACGAUGCGUAGCCGACCUGAGAGGGUGAUCGGCCACACUGGAACUGAGACACGGUCCAGACUCCUACGGGAGGCAGCAGUAGGGAAUCUUCCGCAAUGGGCGAAAGCCUGACGGAGCAACGCCGCGUGAGUGAUGAGGGUCUUCGGAUCGUAAACCUCUGUUAUUAGGGAAGAACAAAUGUGUAAGUAACUAUGCACGUCUUGACGGUACCUAAUCAGAAAGCAACGGCUAACUACGUG
rnacentral:rRNA from 1 species